ACAGGAAGCACUACUUGCAGCAAUCAGUGAAAAAGAUGCAAACAUUGCCUUGCUGGAAUUGUCUGCCUCCAAGAAGAAAAAGACGCAGGAAGAAGUCAUGGCACUCAAGCGGGAGAAGGACCGACUAGUGCAUCAGUUAAAGCAGCAGACCCAAAACCGAAUGAAGCUGAUGGCAGACAACUAUGAUGAGGACCAUCACCACCACCACCACCACCACCAUCACCACCACCACCGAUCUCCUGGGAGGUCACAACAUUCCAACCACAGGCCCUCUCCUGACCAGGAUGACGAGGAGGGCAUAUGGGCAUAGCCGGGCCUGUAAACCAAAGUUCCAGUUUUGUUUUGAGGGAUGAUCCAGCUCUGUCGGAGGCACGUAGGCACAGCCAAAACUCAUGCUGUACAUUGAUCACCUGUCCAACCUUUGCCUAGAGUGGGAGCCCCCAGUUCCUUCAAGAGAUCCAACUUUACCUGUCUGUAAAGAAGAAGAGGAGGAGGGAGACAGCAGGGAGGAUCCGGUGGCAGUUUAACACCAGAGCAGCUACCAGAAGGGCUGAAUAAAUUGCAGCUCUGCAGCAAUAUUCUGAUAAUCUAUUGCAGUGCGGCCCACAUCACUGUCCACCACCACCAGGAGCAACAUGUCAGAACCGAAGGGAAGUUUUCACUUUCAUUGUGGAGCGUGAUUCUGUUCAUCUUGGUAUUUCCUUCAUCAUCACAUGCCAUUUCUGGUGGAUUUGAAUGUCCUGGAAAGGAAGAAUGCAGAGGAAGAGAAAAAUUACAGAUUCUCUAAUUUUUUUUGGAUUUGAGCAUCUGAGAGGCUACCAUCUCUUCUAAGUGUCAUUAUAACAUUUUAUUUCUGUUACUUAAACUUCACUGGCUACGUUGGGACUCCAUGGGAUUCUAACUAUGGACUCAGCUGCUGUUGGACAACUAGCUUCACCUCCAGUUAUUCUGCUGGUCAGUCUAAGUGGUCAUUCCCAGUGCAUUAGAUUAUCAAAUGGUGUGAAUUAGCUGUGAGUGAGUGGUGUUGGCAGUGUUUGUAUACCACAAUGCAUGGAGUGUUUGACAAAGAACCAAAACACCAAAAAUGGCGAGCCUUUACCCUCCUCUAUUUCUUUAAUCUGCUGUUUGAAGAACUACAUUUUGAUGGUAUAACCAGUUGUUACCUCUGGGCCAGGUUGGAAAUGAAAUCAAUUUUUUUAAACCACUAAUACUUGCCAAGAAAUCGCCUUAUGAGAACAUGGGUGUGUGUCUCUGACAAUACAUGGCACAUCUAAAUUGGUCAUUCAUCAUUUUCUCUUCUCCUCCUGCUUCUGUACCACAGAGUGGCAAAAGCCUGAGGCACCUGCAUAUCCACUCCAUGUGUUCCAUGGACGCCACAGCUGGGAUGUGACUGAGCCUCAGGCUCUUACCAUUCUCGUAUAGGCAGGUCUCCAUGAAGAAGCUGGGACUCUCACAUUUCAAGGUCCAAAUGCUGUGCAAACAGUAUAAGCUUAGAUUAUCUGUAAUGAAGGGUCAUUUCUCAUUUUUUUUAAAAAAGAAAAUGUCCCCAGUGUGAAUUCCAAAGUAUUUUCAACAUCAACAUGAAAACAUUGAUGAAUGAGGAGUAAUCACAAAAGCUGUGUGUAUCUGUAUAUAGCUCUACACAACAUGUAUGUGGAUACAGAGUCAUUAUUUAAAGCACAUGCCAGGGAAAGAGACCAAAUUUCGAGGUCUUUUACAUACAGUGAUAUGGUACUAAGGAGAUUAAACUCCUACUGCUUUCUCUGAAGAUUAAAAAUAAUUAAAGUCAUUGUAACUUCACAAAGCUCAUGACUGAGUCUGGCAAAUGUGUGCAACUCUUGUAUUGAUCCAUUUUCUUGUCGAUGGAAGAAACCCUUCCAUGUGUAUGCAAGUGGGAGAUGAAAACCUGCAUUUUAAAGGAUAAACAGUGAAUUAAGCAUGAGUGGCCUUAAUAUAGUUGUCUUUCUUUGCUGCUGUGGAAAGGAUUCUAAACACAUGUUCCUGAAGUCUUGCAUUGAAUUUAGUCAUUAGUAUUACUCUUUUAAUUGUUGGUGCAAUUAACUCUGGACCUCUCUCGUGAGCCAUAGAGAUAUUUAAAAGACAAACACUUUAUUUGUUGGGGAAGAUGAAACCAUCCCUGAGUUGUACCAUUCAUUCUUGGUGCAUCAAGAGUCAAAUAUUCAAGCAGGUUUCUUGCUUCUGGCUUUGUUCUUGUUGUCAGUAAGUAGCAAACUAUGUGAAGCUUUCCUGUUGCAUUAAGCAAUCCAAAUACAUUCAUGUUUUAAACGUUUGUCCUUUAACUAUCAAAGGGAUCUAGGUCUUGGUUGAAGAAGUGAGCAGAGUUCUUUGCAAACUUAUUUAGUACAUUUUGACACAAUGUUGCACUGAAAACCCAAGCCACAGAUGCAUCCCCAUGAAUGGUUUGGGUGCCCUUAGAGAGACAGUUCCUACAAUCAGGUCCAGAUCUGAACUCUGUAACUGAAUACUUGAAGUAGGAAGUAGGAAAUUCAGUAUGGAAAAUAGGGUCCGUGAAAUAGAAAAUAAAGGAACCAACUAUGUAUAGUUAGCUAUUUCUAUGUAUGUGCCAAUUUUGUCACAGCUAUUGUUUAGGGGAUCAUUUUUUUUUGCCCCACUUUCAUUCACUGAAAGUAUCACUGACCUUACCUUUAUGCAAGCAUAUUGUUUGGUCCCUGAAAAAUUUAAUUCUAACAUGGCAUCUUUUCUCAUUUCAUGUAAUAUUCUCUGAUGUUUGAGGGUUACAAAAAUAAUCCGUUUUCACACAUUAAAAAUAGUCUCUGGGUUUACAACCAACACUGUGAUGUCCGGAAGAUAAUUCCUUUGCGCAAAUUUUAGCAAGUUCCCUUCUAAUUAUCAUGUAGCUGGAAAAAAAAAGUUUGAGCUAACACUUAGGAGAAGUUGGUCUAAGUCUUACUUCGUGCAAAAGCCGGCUUGUACUUACAACCCAUUUGAUUUCUCUGUACAGUCUCAAUUUUGUAUUUAAUGAUUUUUGUGUAUCCAGUAUGCACGUUAACAGCGUGUCAACUUUCAUUUGAAAGUGGGUUUUACUUUUUCAGCAGUGUUUAUGAUGAGACCUCAAACGUAUCGACAUGAGCUCUAUCUGCGGUGUGUUUGUGUUGCGUGCCGUUUGAAUGCUGCCAGGGGUCAGUGUAUCUAAUUCCCUGAAACCCUCAUUUGAUAGUGCUUCUUGUAACAUUUCUUCAAGUGAGUGGCAUGUGGGUUGUGAUAUUGACCAUGUGAUUAUGGACAUUGAUAUGAAAAAAUAAACAAACAAAACUAAGGAACCCUCGAAACCACAGUGGGCAUGUAUUAGCCAGUCAUUGUAACCUUGUGUCUAGUAGAAGUACAACGUGCAAGGUAUGUACAGUUCAUAAAUUUGUUAUCAUGUGUUUGAGAAGUACUUUGUGCUAAUCGCCUUAUUUAUAUUCAUCAAAUAAACCUUGUUUCUUUCUGAA